CUAUUUACCUGGAAUGGGAGAUGCCAUGAUUAUAGAGAAGUUAUUCCCAGGGCAAGGCUUAUCCUUUGCCCUGCACAUAUGCUGACCUCUGCAAUCUUUCCAACAGUGGAAAAUUCAGCUACAUGAUUCGUGGUAGUGGGUAGAUGAGUUUGUGCUGUCCCCUG